rnacentral:rRNA from 1 species
UAGAGCAGGCGGGACGGGUGAGUAACACGUGGACAUCUCCGCCCCCCGGGCCGGAUACGCCCGAGGGAACCUGGAUUAAUACCGGAUGAGACGGGACCCGCGAUGGCGGGACCCGGGAAAGGCGCUGCGGCGCCGCCGGGGGGAUGAGUCUGCGUCCCAUUAGCUAGACGGCGGGGUAACGGCCCACCGUGGCGACGAUGGGUAGCCGGCCUGAGAGGGUGGACGGCCACAUUGGAACUGAGACACGGUCCAGACUCCUACGGGAGGCAGCAGCUAAGAAUCUUCCGCAAUGGGCGAAAGCCUGACGGAGCGACGCCCGCGUGAACGAAGAAGGCCGUGAGGUUGUAAAGUUCUUUUCGGGAGGGGGAACAACCGUGGCAGGGAAUGGCCGCGGGAUGACGUGAAUCCCGGAAUAAGCCCCGGCUAACUACGUGCCAGCCGCAGC